AUGGCGCCCUCCACCACCACCGGUGCUGUCCCAGUCCCACGAUGUCCUGUUAUCUUCAACGGACAGAACUACAGGGACUGGGUGCAGCACAUGAAGCUGCACAUGAGGGGCCAGCUGGUCUGGGAGCACCUCUCUGGUGCUCUGCCUUGUCCCCUGCUGCCCACUCCUCCAGCUGAGUUGGCCUUCCCUGUUGAUGCCGAUGAAACCAAGCAACGUGAGAUGCUAGAUGCUUUUGAAGAGGCCACUGAAGAGUAUCAGAAUCAACUCCACUUAUACAAGCAAUGGACAAAUGAUGAUGCUCGAGCCUCUUCUAUCUUGGUGAACAGCAUGGAUGUUGAUCUCACCAUGGAUGUGGUGGCCCUUACCACUGCAUAUCAGAUGUGGGAGCACCUUCGCCAUCGCUAUGAGUCUACAGGGGAUGCCAUGUAUCUCUCUGUUGUUCGUCAAGAGCAACAACUACAACAGGGAGAUGCUACUGUGGAUGAUUUCUACAAGGAGAUGUCGGCGGUGUGGCGCCAAUUGGACUCUCUGGGAGCUGAUGUUUGUCGCAGAUGUCAGUGUUGUGUGCGGCAACAAGCUAAGCUGGAGGUUCGUCGCCUCUACGACUUCCUCACUCGCCUCCGGCCGGAGUUCGAGCAGAGUCGUGCUCAGCUAUUGGCACGCCAUCCUCGGCUCUCUACUCUGGAGGCCUUUGCUGAGGUGCGAUCUGAGGAGGUGCGCCUACGGAGCACGGGCUUAUUGCCAUCCUCUUCAGCAGUCCUGGCUGCCCGCGUUCCACCACCGCUGCCUGGUGUGCCCUCUUCUUCACAGGUGGUAGCAACCUCCACUAGUGCUUUCUGCAACUACUGCAAGCAGGAUGGUCACAUGAUCACGGAGUGCAUCAAGAGGAGGAAACAGGGUCGCCGUGGUGGCCGUCCUCAAAAGGACUCGGGAGGCUCCUCUAAUUCUCGUGAGGGCUCCCUUGAGAAGGUUCACCAGGAGAUGCUCACCUUGCUGCGCCGCCUUACUGCUUCUGCACCAUCCUCAGGUUCUGCUGGUUCUGCUGGUCAGACGUCUGGUCCACCACCGCACUCUUCGUCAGGUACAUCUUUGCCCUGGAUUCUUGAUUCUGGGGCCUCCUUCCACAUGACACCACAUAGAGAUCAUCUUUGUGCUGUCAAUUCCGUGCCUUCUCCUCUUACAGUUCAGACUGCAGAUGGCACUUCUCUUUCUGUUGCCGCAAGAGGGACUCUUUCCACGUCUUCUUUUCAUGUCCCUGCCGUUUCUCAUGUUCCUAAACUGACUAUGCAACUUCUAUCUGCUGGUCAACUUACUGACUUGGGUUAUCGUGUUAUUCUGGAUUCUGACUCUUGUUGUGUUCAGGAUCGUCGUACGGGGACUCUGGUUGGGAUCGGUCCUCGGCGCCAUGACUCUCAGCGCCUUUGGGAGCUCGAUUGGCUGCGCCUUCCUUCCGCUGCAUCCUCUAGCCAGUCGGACAUCACCACCCCUUUUGCUUCAGCUGCCACCUCCACCACAUCCUUCGCUCAGUGGCAUCAUCGAUUGGGUCACAUUUGUGGCUCCCGCUUGUCUUCUUUGGUUAGGAGUGGUGUUCUAGGGUCUGUAUCUGGUGAUAGUUCACUAACUUGUAUGGGUUGUAAGCUUGGCAAGCAGAUACAACUUCCAUAUCCCUCUAGUAAUUCUGUUUCUCAACGACCUUUUGAACUUGUUCACUCUGAUGUAUGGGGUCCUGCCCCCUUUGUUUCGAAAGGGGGUCACAAAUAUUAUAUAAUUUUCAUUGAUGAUUUUUCUCGCCACACUUGGAUCUACUUUAUGUCAUCUCGUAGUCAAGUGCUUCAAAUUUACAAGUCGUUUGCUACCAUGGUUCACACUCAGUAUGAUUCCUCUGUUCGAGUUUUUCGUGCUGAUUCGGCUGGCGAGUACUUAUCUCGUGCGCUUCGUGGUUUCCUUGCUGAACAGGGUACCCUUCCUCAGUAUUCCUGUCCUGGUGCACACGCUCAAAAUGGGGUGGCUGAACGCAAACAUCGUCACGUCUUUGAGACUGCUCGGGCUCUUCUUUUAUCUUCUGCUGUUCCCCCGCACUUUUGGGCUGAGGCUGUCUCUACCGCUGUUUAUCUCAUUAAUAUUCAGCCUUCUGUUGCUCUUCAGGGAGGGAUACCAGUUGAUCAUCUAGGUGAUGGUCCAGCUGAUUAUAGUGGUCUACGCCUGUUUGGUUGUGCCUGUUUUGUUCUUCUCCACCCUCAUGAACGCACCAAAUUGACUGCUCAAUCUGUUGAAUGUGUUUUCCUUGGCUACAGUUUGGAGCACAAAGGUUACCGUUGCUGGGACCCUAUUGCUCGAAGACUGAGAAUCUCCAAAGAUGUCACUUUUGAUGAGUCUCGCUCCUUCUACCCUCGUCAUUCUUCUACUGCCACAACCGAGUCGUUAGUCGAGCCUCUCUCUUUUUUGACUCUACCUGAUUCUUCACCUUUAUCGUCACCUGGUAGGUCCACUCCUAGCCUUUCACCUGUGUCUGCUCAUGAGCUUCAGCUUACACAGGACGAGGUUUCUAUUCCUGACUCUCCUACUCGGGUUGAGCCAUCCACUCUCUCUCCUUUUCCUUUUACCUACUCCCGUCGUGCUCAACACCCUUCUCCCUCUGAUGCGCCACCUUCCACUUCCCCUCUCUCUCCGCUUCCUUUUGUCUACUCCCGUCGUGCUCGGCACCCUUCUCCCUCGGAUGCGCCCACUUCCACUUCCACUCCUUCCCUGUUGGGUCCCAUUCCUUCAGAACCACCUACCCCUCCUGCUCCUCGGUAUAAUCUGCGUGAUCGCCACACUCUCCAGCCUCCUGCGUACUAUGUUGCUGCUGCUACCACUCUUGUUGAGCCGUCUACAUAUCGUGAGGCUGCUGCUCAUUCUGAAUGGCAGCAUGCUAUGGCAGAGGAAAUUCAUGCUCUUGAGCGCACAGGCACUUGGGACCUUGUACCCCUGCCUACAGGCGUUAGACCCAUCACUUGCAAAUGGGUCUACAAGGUUAAGACACAUUCAGAUGGUUCUCUCGUGCGCUACAAAGCUCGUCUUGUUGCGCGUGGCUUCCAGCAGGAGUAUGGUCGUGACUAUGAUGAGACUUUUGCUCCUGUUGCUCACAUGACCACUGUUCGCACUCUUUUGGCUGUUGCUGCUGUUCGGCAGUGGUCCAUCUCUCAAUUAGAUGUCAAGAAUGCCUUCUUGAAUGGUGAGCUGCGGGAAGUGGUCUAUAUGCAGCCGCCUCCUGGCUAUACUGUCUCUGAUGGCACUGUCUGUCGCCUUCGGCGCGCUCUUUACGGGCUGAAACAAGCUCCACGUACCUGGUUUGAGCGUUUCUCCGCCGUCAUCACAAGGAUCGGGUUCUCUGCUAGUGUUCAUGAUCCUGCUCUGUUUAUUCACACUUCUCCUCGCGGUCGCACCCUUUUACUACUCUAUGUUGAUGACAUGAUUAUCACAGGGGCUGACCACCAAUUCAUUGAUUUUGUGAAGAAACGUCUACAUGAGCAAUUCUUGAUGACUGAUUUGGGUUCUCUUCGCUACUUUCUUGGACUUGAGAUCAUUUCUUCCCCUGAGGGUAUUUAUCUCUCUCAAGAGAAGUACAUCCAAGAUCUUCUCACUCGUGCCUGCCUCACUGAUCAGCGCACGGUUGACACUCCUAUGGAGUUUGGUCUCCAUCUUCGUCCUGGUGAGGGUGAACCCCUUGCAGAUCCCACACGCUACCGCCAUCUUGUUGGGAGCCUUGUCUAUCUAGGCAUCACUCGUCCUGACAUUUCUUAUGCUGUGCACAUUCUAAGUCAGUUUGUCUCUGCUCCCACUCAACUUCACUACAGUCACCUUCUUCGUGUUCUUCGUUACCUUCGUGGUACCGUGACUCGUCGCUUAUUCUUCCCUCGCUCCAGCUCUCUUCAGCUUCAGGCCUACUGUGAUGCUACCUGGGCCAGCGAUCCCACUGAUCGCCGCUCUCUCUGCCUAUUGUGUUUUUCUUGGCUCCUCCCUGAUUGCCUGGAAGACCAAGAAGCAGAAUGCUGUAUCUCGCUCCAGUGCUGA
rnacentral:rRNA from 1 species